GACGAACGCUGGCGGCGUGCUUAACACAUGCAAGUCGAACGGAAAGGCCUCUUUCGGGGGUACUCGAGUGGCGAACGGGUGAGUAACACGUGAGUAACCUGCCCUUGACUUUGGGAUAACUUCAGGAAACUGGGGCUAAUACCGGAUAGGAGCUCCUGCUGCAUGGUGGGGGUUGGAAAGUUUCGGCGGUUGGGGAUGGACUCGCGGCUUAUCAGCUUGUUGGUGGGGUAGUGGCUUACCAAGGCUUUGACGGGUAGCCGGCCUGAGAGGGUGACCGGCCACAUUGGGACUGAGAUACGGCCCAGACUCCUACGGGAGGCAGCAGUGGGGAAUAUUGCACAAUGGGUGGAAGCCUGAUGCAGCAACGCCGUGUGCGGGAUGACGGCCUGGUGUAACG
rnacentral:rRNA from 1 species